AGAAUUUGAUCUUGGUUCAGGAUGAACGCUGGCGGCGUGCUUAACACAUGCAAGUCGAACGAGGAAUGCUGAUGAAGUUUCGGAUGAAUUCGGUAUUCCGAGUGGCGGACGGGUGAGUAACGCGUGGGUAACCUGCCCUGUACAGGGGGAUAACAGUUGGAAACGACUGUUAAUACCGCAUAAGACCACAGUGCCGCAUGGCACAGGGGUAAAAACUCCGGUGGUACAGGAUGGACCCGCGUCCAAUUAGCUAGUUGGUGAGGUAACGGCCCACCAAGGCGACGAUUGGUAGCCGAUCUGAGAGGAUGACCGGCCACAUUGGGACUGAGACACGGCCCAAACUCCUACGGGAGGCAGCAGUGGGGAAUAUUGCACAAUGGGGGAAACCCUGAUGCAGCGACGCCGCGUGAGUGAUGAAGUAUUUCGGUAUGUAAAGCUCUAUCAGCAGGGAAGAAAAUGACGGUACCUGAGUAAGAAGCCCCGGCUAACUACGUGCCAGCCGCCGC
rnacentral:rRNA from 1 species